rnacentral:rRNA from 1 species
ACGGGAGGCAGCAGUGGGGAAUAUUGGGCAAUGGGCGCAAGCCUGACCCAGCGACGCCGCGUGAGGGAAGACGGUCUUCGGAUUGUAAACCUCUUUCAGCAGGGAAGAUAAUGACGGUACCUGCAGAAAAAGCAACGGCUAACUACGUGCCAGCAGCCGCGGUAAUACGUAGGUUGCAAGCGUUGUCCGGAUUUACUGGGUGUAAAGGGCGUGUAGGCGGAGCUGCAAGUCAGAUGUGAAAUCCCGGGGCUCAACCCCGGAACUGCAUUUGAAACUGUAGCCCUUGAGUAUCGGAGAGGCAAGCGGAAUUCCUAGUGUAGCGGUGAAAUGCGUAGAUAUUAGGAGGAACACCAGUGGCGAAGGCGGCUUGCUGGACGACAACUGACGCUGAGGCGCGAAAGCGUGGGGAGCAAACAGGAUUAGAUACCCUGGUA